rnacentral:tRNA from 1 species
GGUCUUAUAUUUUAAGUUAAAAAUUUUAAAUUGCAAGUUUAAAGAUGAAUAUUUCUAAGACUU